rnacentral:rRNA from 1 species
AUAACUAUUGGAAACGAUAGCUAAUACCGCAUAACAGUAGAUGUUGCAUGACAUUUGCUUAAAAGGUGCAAUUGCAUCACUACCAGAUGGACCUGCGUUGUAUUAGCUAGUUGGUGGGGUAACGGCUCACCAAGGCGACGAUACAUAGCCGACCUGAGAGGGUGAUCGGCCACACUGGGACUGAGACACGGCCCAGACUCCUACGGGAGGCAGCAGUAGGGAAUCUUCGGCAAUGGACGGAAGUCUGACCGAGCAACGCCGCGUGAGUGAAGAAGGUUUUCGGAUCGUAAAGCUCUGUUGUAAGAGAAGAACGAGUGUGAGAGUGGAAAGUUCACACUGUGACGGUAUCUUACCAGAAAGGGACGGCUAACUACGUGCCAGCAGCCGCGGUAAUACGUAGGUCCCGAGCGUUGUCCGGAUUUAUUGGGCGUAAAGCGAGCGCAGGCGGUUAGAUAAGUCUGAAGUUAAAGGCUGUGGCUUAACCAUAGUACGCUUUGGAGACUGUUUAACUUGAGUGCAAGAGGGGAGAGUGGAAUUCCAUGUGUAGCGGUGAAAUGCGUAGAUAUAUGGAGGAACACCGGUGGCGAAAGCGGCUCU